rnacentral:rRNA from 1 species
CCUACGGGAGGCAGCAGUGGGGGAUAUUGGACAAUGGGCGAAAGCCUGAUCCAGCAAUGCCGCGUGAGUGAUGAAGGCCUUAGGGUUGUAAAGCUCUUUUACCAGGGAUGAUAAUGACAGUACCUGGAGAAUAAGCUCCGGCUAACUCCGUGCCAGCAGCCGCGGUAAUACGGAGGGAGCUAGCGUUGUUCGGAAUUACUGGGCGUAAAGCGUACGUAGGCGGUUAUUCAAGUCAGAGGUGAAAGCCUGGAGCUCAACUCCAGAACUGCCUUUGAAACUAGAUAGCUAGAAUCUUGGAGAGGUGAGUGGAAUUCCGAGUGUAGAGGUGAAAUUCGUAGAUAUUCGGAAGAACACCAGUGGCGAAGGCGACUCACUGGACAAGUAUUGACGCUGAGGUACGAAAGCGUGGGGAGCAAACAGGAUUAGAUACCCUGGUAGUCCACGCCGUAAACGAUGAUAACUAGCUGUUCGGGCUCUACGAGCUUGAGUGGCGCAGCUAACGCAUUAAGUUAUCCGCCUGGGGAGUACGGUCGCAAGAUUAAAACUCAAAGGAAUUGACGG